UAGGCAAGCAGCGGCAGCAGCGCUGCGGGGCGCGGGGGGCGCGGCGGUGCCUUCCUCCAGGAGACCUCCAUGGGGCUGUGGCGGGGUGGGGGGGGGGGCCGCCCCCGGGCAGGGCGCGCGGCGGCGACAGCGGCUCAGGCGCGCGUGCACCUGUGACCCACAGUAAAAGAACCACAUGGUAAAGAGCCAAAGAGGAAACCAGGAAGAAAAGGGGACCUUGGUGAUUCACAGUUCAGACAGUCAGCUCGUGAAUAGCUGAAAGCUGAUGCAGUUUUCACCAGCGAUUUGAGGAUCAAAUGAUUCCAUAUUUCACAAUUGAACGGCAUUUGAGGUUUUUGUUAAGGCCCCUGUCUUCAUGGAAGCUGUGCUUUGGCAAUGGGGAAUACUGAAAUCUCCUCAAGCGUGGGGCACAGUGCUGAGAAUCUCCUACAGGGCUCUUAACAUCUUUUGCAGGACUUGCUGGAUCCUUGACAGCCUCUCCUGGUAUUCUUGCCUUAUCAGACGUGGACCUCUCCGACACAGGCGAGAUAAAUUUCUAUCCUCAGCCUAGAGAAGCAGUUGGCCUGCUCACUGCAUCUCUGAAAAUGGAUGAGUGGCUAGGCCAGGUCCCUCUGGAAGGGCAACUUUGUGCCCAUUAAAAUACAAAUGUGGAACUCCUGUAAUUUUGUGUGUGUGUAUGUGUGCAAAUACCAAGCUGUAAUCUUA